rnacentral:rRNA from 1 species
AGAGUUUGAUCAUGGCUCAGGAUGAACGCUAGCGGCAGGCCUAAUACAUGCAAGUCGGACGGUAGUUGCCCUCGGGCUUCUAUAGUGGCAAACGGGUGCGUAACGCGUAAAUAACCUGCCCCAAACUGGGGGAUAGCCCGGCGAAAGCUGGGGUAAGCCCGCAUGGUCUCUUUGGGUGGCAUCACCUGAUGAGUAAAACAGCGAUGUGGUUUGGGAGGGAUUUGCGUCUGAUUAGGUAGUUGGGGGGGUAGUGGCCCACCAAGCCGGUGAUCAGUCGGGGCUCUGAGAGGAGGGUCCCCCACAUGGGCACUGAGACACGGGCCCAACUCCUACGGGAGGCAGCAGUAGGGAAUAUUGGGCAAUGGGCGCAAGCCUGACCCAGCCAUGCCGCGUGGAGGAAGACGGCCCUCUGGGUUGUAAACUCCUUUUAUCAGGGAAGAAGAGCACUGAUGCGUCAGUGUGUGACGGUACCUGAGGAAUCAGCACCGGCUAACUCCGUGCCAGCAGCCGCGGUAAUACGGAGGGUGCAAGCGUUGUCCGGAUUUAUUGGGUUUAAAGGGUGCGUAGGUGGCCUCUUAAGUCAGCUUUGAAAGCUGGUCGCUCAACGAUCAGGGGUGGGUUGAUACUGGGGGGCUUGGAUCAGGUGGCGGUUUCUGGAACGGGUCGUGUAGCGGUGAAAUGCAUAGAUAUGACCCAGAACUCCGAUUGCGAAGGCAGGAGGCUACGCCUGGAUUGACACUGAGGCACGAGAGCAUGGGGAGCAAACAGGAUUAGAUACCCUGGUAGUCCAUGCCGUAAACGAUGAUUACUGACUGUGUGGGCGUAAGUCUGCGUGGUUCAGCGAAAGCGUUAAGUAAUCCACCUGGGGAGUACGCCGGCAACGGUGAAACUCAAAGGAAUUGAC